rnacentral:rRNA from 1 species
AGAAUCAACGCUGGCGGCGUGCCUAACACAUGCAAGUCGAACGAGAAAGUGGAGCAAUCCAUGAGUAAAGUGGCGCACGGGUGAGUAACACGUGACUAACCUACCCUUGAGUGGGGAAUAACUUCGGGAAACCGAGGCUAAUACCGCAUAAUACCCACGGGUCAAAGGAGCAAUUCGCUCGAGGAGGGGUCGCGGCCGAUUAGUUAGUUGGCGGGGUAAUGGCCCACCAAGACGAUGAUCGGUA